GGGCCCGCACAAGCAGUGGAGCAUGUGGUUUAAUUCGACGCAACGCGAAGAACCUUACCAGCGUUUGACAUGGGAAGUGCCGGUUACAGAAUGGUAACCUUCAGUUCGGCUGGCUUCCACACAGGUGCUGCAUGGCUGUCGUCAGCUCGUGUCGUGAGAUGUUGGUUAAGUCCCGCAACGAGCGCAACCCUUAUCGUUAGUUACUAACAGUUCGGCUGAGGACUCUAGCGAAACUGCCGGUGAUAAGCCGGAGGAAGUGGGGAUGACGUCAAGUCCUCAUGGCCCUUACACGCUGGGCUACACACGUGCUACAAUGGUAACUACAACGGGACGCAAUACCGCGAGGUG
rnacentral:rRNA from 1 species